rnacentral:sRNA from 1 species
UUGCCAGCUCUGAUGAUACACAUGUCCUCCAUUUGCCCAUAGAGCAGUUACAGCAGGAGCUGCAUCAGUGCAAGCUUCCUCACCCUUCUCUGCCAACGUGCUUCAAUCCUGAGUUGGAGGAACCCCCUAGGGGUGAGAUAACUCUGUUUUCUCUGACAACACAAUCUUCCUCUUCC